AGAGUUUGAUUAUGGCUCAGAACGAACGCUGGUGGCGUGUUUUAUACAUGCAAGUCGAGCGAGGACGGUAGCAAUACCGAGCCGAGCGGUGAACGGGUGAGUAACGCGUAAGCAAUCUGCCCCACAAUCGGGAACAACCGUGCCAACGCGCGGCUAAUGCCGGAUAUUGUAGUCUACUGCAUAGUAGGCCAACGAAAGAUUUAUUGUUGUGGGAUGAGCUUGCGUCCGAUUAGCUAGUUGGCGGGGUAAUAGCCCACCAAGGCGACGAUCGGUAGCCGGCCUGAGAGGGUGAUCGGCCACAUUGGGACUGAGAUACGGCCCAGACUCCUACGGGAGGCAGCAGUAGGGAAUAUUGCGCAAUGGGGGGAACCCUGACGCAAGCAACGCCACGUGUGGGAAGAAGCAUUUCGGUGUGUAAACCACUGUCGGAAAGGAAUAACGGAAGACUUCGGUCUUUAUGAAUGUACUUUUAGAGGAAGCACCGGCAAACUUCGUGCCAGCCGCGGC
rnacentral:rRNA from 1 species